ACCUGAUGAUCAUUUUGCUCUUCUAUGGAUCCACUGCUGCCAUCAUUCCUAUCCUGAAGAUCUACUUGACGACAGGCCCAGUUCUGAGAAGGGAUCCAUAAACUUCACCAGCCUGCCUCAGGCAUCCAGGAUACAGAAAAGGUUAAGAACUCUGAGUCUCAUACAUCAUUUUGCUUCAAUAGUUGGCAUCCAGCUUUAAGGUCUUUAAUGCUGAGAAGAAGCCACCAGCUAUAUAUACCUAGAGUUUGACUGAAGCCCCCUCUACUACAGGU
rnacentral:lncRNA from 1 species